rnacentral:tRNA from 1 species
GGGGUUGUGGCUCAGUGGUAGAGUGCUCACCCGGCAAGUGUGAGGCACUGGGUUCGAUCCUCAGCACCA